rnacentral:rRNA from 1 species
UUGGAGGGCAAGUCUGGUGCCAGCAGCCGCGGUAAUUCCAGCUCCAAUAGCGUAUAUUAAAGUUGUUGCAGUUAAAAAGCUCGUAGUUGAAUUUCGAGACCGGCUUACUGGUCGUGCUUUUGUACGUACUGGUAUUAUUGGUUUCUCCUUUCUGACGAAUCAUAAUGCCAUUAAUUUGGUGUUUUGGGGAAUCAGGACUGUUACUUUGAAAAAAUUAGAGUGUUUAAAGCAGGCUCACGCUUGAAUACAUUAGCAUGGAAUAACGAAAUAGGACGUUUGAUUUUAUUUUGUUGGUUUCUAGGAUCGACGUAAUGAUUAAUAGGGAUAGUUGGGGGCAUUAGUAUUCAAUUGUCAGAGGUGAAAUUCUUGGAUUUAUUGAAGACUAACUACUGCGAAAGCAUUUGCCAAGGAUGUUUUCAUUAAUCAAGAACGAAAGUUAGGGGAUCGAAGACGAUCAGAUACCGUCGUAAUCUUAACCAUAAACUAUGCCGACUAGGGAUCGGAUGAUGUUAAUUUUUUAAUGACUCAUUCGGCGCCUUACGGGAAAC